CACUGGCAGUCCUUUUAAAUACACUGGGCACAGAGGCUGGCAUGCCUACUGUCCACUUUCGAGAACUGACUGUUCUAGCUCUUUGUUGAGUACCACAACACCUCAUCUGAAGGGCAGAAAGAAGCUCUCAGGGCAUUGCAUAAACUGACACAGCGUUAUGUAAACCCUUAUGAAGGUGUUGCUAGCAACACCAGCGCAGAAAGACACCCUGAGCUAAUGCUAUAGGUAACCGUGAAGAGAUACACAUCAACAAGACCUGACACGCUGAGCUAAUGCUAUAGGUGACCGUGAAGAGAUACACAUCAACAAGACCUGAGAUCCUGAGCCGAUCCCCAACAGAAGCACUGAACUCAAGUCAGGUUGUCUCUAAUGAUGAGUCAAGCCUUGUUCAGCACACAACACAGACAUGUGACUGCAGAGCAGGAAACCUGCAGCGCUUUGCAGUGGGAAAGAUUUGUCUCAACUUCUGACCUGAUCCUUGGCUGACAGACUGACCCUGAGUCACAACCUGAGCCGGCACCUUGACUAACUGUCCCUGUCAUUGGGAGAGCAGGUUCUGUGCAGCUGUUUCAAUAUGGGCACACUCUGGUUUCUUGAAGCAAAUAAACCAAACAAACCGUUUCUAACACGAGAAAUGUAACCAUAA